UACAGAGGGGGCAAGCGUUGUUCGGAAUUACUGGGCGUAAAGGGCGCGUAGGCGGCCUGCUAAGUCGAACGUGAAAUCCCUGGGCUCAACCCAGGAACUGCGUCCGAUACUGGUUGGCUUGAAUCCGGGAGAGGGAUGUGGAAUUCCAGGUGUAGCGGUGAAAUGCGUAGAGAUCAGGAAGAACACCGGUGGCGAAGGCGGGUCUCUGGGCAUUUCCUGACGCUGAGGCGCGAAAGCGUGGGGAGCAAACGGG
rnacentral:rRNA from 1 species